rnacentral:rRNA from 1 species
UACGCUGGCGGCACGCCUUAUACAUGCAAGUCGAACGAAGUAGCAAUACUUAGUGGCAGACGGGUGAGUAACAUGUGGGUAUCUUCCCUUUGGUGAGGAAUAACACGAGGAAACUUGUGCUAAUACCUCAUAAGUCUUUACGGAGAAAGCUUUAUGCGCCAAUGGAUGAGCCCGCACUUGAUUAGUUUGUUGGUGGGGUAAUGGCCUACCAAGACUUUGAUCAAUAGCUGAUUUGAGAGGAUGAUCAGCCACAUUGGGACUGAGACACGGCCCAAACUCCUACGGGAGGCAGCAGUAAGGAAUCUUGCACAAUGGAGGAAACUCUGAUGCAGCGAUGCCGCGUGAGUGAAGAAGGCCUUUGGGUUGUAAAGCUCUUUCGUCGGGGAAGAAAAUGACUGUACCCGAAUAAGAAGGUCCGGCUAACUUCGUGCCAGCAGCCGCGGUAAUACGAAGGGACCUAGCGUAGUUCGGAAUUACUGGGCUUAAAGAGUUCGUAGGUGGUUAAAAAAGUUGGUAGUGAAAUCCCAGAGCUUAACUCUGGAACUGCUAUCAAAACUUUUUAGCUAGAGUAUGAUAGAGGAAAGCAGAAUUUCUAGUGUAGAGGUGAAAUUCGUAGAUAUUAGAAAGAAUACCGAUUGCGAAGGCAGCUUUCUGGAUCAUUACUGACACUGAGGAACGAAAGCAUGGGUAGCGAAGAGGAUUAGAUACCCUCGUAGUCCAUGCCGUAAACGAUGUGUGUUAGACGUUGGAAAUUUAUUUUCAGUGUCGCAGCGAAAGCGAUAAACACACCGCCUGGGGAGUACGACCGC